rnacentral:siRNA from 1 species
CAACUUUAUUAAGCAACGUCCUGC